rnacentral:tRNA from 1 species
AGACCUUUAGCUCAGCUAGUUAGAGCAAACGACUCAUAAUCAUUCGAUCGUAGGUUCGAGUCCUACAAGGUCAA